AUGGGGCAAAGAACUCCAAGAAUGGCCAAACAACUCAGUCAGGGACACAUCUGCCCUCACUUCCCAUCUCCAUGCCCAUGCCUGAUGUCCCUGUCACAGCUGCAUUACCAGCUUGUUGCUCUGCAGAUGCUGCCUCCACCCAAACAAAACCCUGUGUCCCUGAAGGUUUUUCUGAGCAAUGGCCCUUGGAUGAAGCAAAACCUUUACAGUCAGGGCAGUCCAUUUGUACAGAAGGGAGUACACUCUGGGGGUACAGCUAAGAGCAUGAGGUCACAGAGGGCUCUGGGUCACAGCAGGCUGAGGUCACAGUGGGCUCUGGAGUCACAGCAGGCUGAGGUCACAGCAGGCUCUGAGGUCACAGAGGUCCCAGAGCCCCGUGGCUGCACAGCACCACAAGGCCCGAGCAGGCAGUCCUGGAGCACAACUGCUGCGGCAGCAGCGGCGGUGGCAGCAGUGGUGCUGACAUUGGGACAGCGGUGUCAGGACAGUGGUGACAGUGAGAGCGGCGGGACUGGCACAGGGCAAGGCACCAUGGCCCUUGCUCUGCGCCUCCUCCUCCUGCUCCUCCUGGCCGUGGCCCUGCCUGCCAGGGCUGCCCAGGCUGCUCCGCUGCAAGCGCGGGGAGCAGGUGAGCCGGCAGCCUGGCUCCCCUUUCCCAGGACAGCGCUCCCUGCUCCCCGGGAAGCGCUGGGGAUGGUUUUCCCAUGGGCUUUAGGGAGGGUUUCCACUGUGGGAGGGAUAGAGCCCCCAUGGGCCCUGGGCAGCCCCAUUUUCCUCUCCAGGGAUGUUACACAGGACAGGGAAAGAGGGUGGAGAGUGACCAGGAGCCAGCCCAGAGCUCCCCAGGCCCCUGUGUAUCUUUGGCCUUGCCCAUUGCCACCUGGCUUGCACAGCCUUAUUGAUCCUCUGGAAGUGCCCAGUUCCCUGAGGCAAAAGGGGAUCCCAGCACAAUGGAAAUGGGUCUGGUCUCUGCUUCCCUCUAGAUUUGGAUCGCGACUUGAAUGA
rnacentral:lncRNA from 1 species